rnacentral:rRNA from 1 species
UACGGGGGGGGUAAGCGUUGUUCGGAAUUACUGGGCGUAAAGGGCUCGUAGGCGGCCAACUAAGUCAGACGUGAAAUCCCUCAGCUUAACUGAGGAACUGCGUCUGAUACUGGAUGGCUUGGAUCCGGAAGAGGGAUGCGGAAUUCCAGGUGUAGCGGUGAAAUGCGUAGAUAUCUGGAGGAACACCGGUGGCGAAGGCGGCAUCCUGGGCCGGUAUUGACGCUGAGGAGCGAAAGCCAGGGGAGCAAACGGG